rnacentral:rRNA from 1 species
GAUGGGCAUGCGUUGUAUUAGCUAGUUGGUGAGGUAACGGCUCACCAAGGCAACGAUACAUAGGGGGACUGAGAGGUUAACCCCCCACAUUGGUACUGAGACACGGACCAAACUCCUACGGGAGGCAGCAGUGAGGAAUAUUGGUCAAUGGACGCAAGUCUGAACCAGCCAUGCCGCGUGCAGGAAGACGGCUCUAUGAGUUGUAAACUGCUUUUGCACUAGGGUAAACGCUUCUACGUGUAGGAGCCUGAAAGUAUAGUACGAAUAAGGAUCGGCUAACUCCGUGCCAGCAGCCGCGGUAAUACGGAGGAUCCAAGCGUUAUCCGGAUUUAUUGGGUUUAAAGGGUGCGUAGGCGGUUUGAUAAGUUAGAGGUGAAAUACCGGGGCUCAACUCCGGAACUGCCUCUAAUACUGUUGAACUAGAGAGUAGUUGCGGUAGGCGGAAUGUAUGGUGUAGCGGUGAAAUGCUUAGAGAUCAUACAGAACACCGAUUGCGAAGGCAGCUUACCAAACUAUAUCUGACGUUGAGGCACGAAAGCGUGGGGAGCAAACAGGAUUAGAUACCCUGGUAGUCCACGCAGUAAACGAUGAUAACUCGUUGUCGGCGAUACACAGUCGGUGACU